rnacentral:lncRNA from 1 species
AGACAAUGGCGCAGGACGACGUAGUCUACAUGGAAAGAUAUGAACUAGUUGAGGAUUAGGAAAGUACUCGAAGUAAUUAGAGUAGAACUCCUCUAGUCGUAUCCGACCAGUAUUCUUGUAAAUCAACCAACCAGUAAUCCUAUCCCCAACUAUAUAAGAUGAGGCAGGGACCCCCUCCAAAGCAAUUCAAUCCAACCAACACACAGGAUGUAGGGUAUUACGCUAUUCAGCGCCCGAACAUAUCUAAAUCGUGUGUCUACAUUUACCUUCGAGCUCCUGAUCUCGACGAGCCCCACCAACCAAAACACUACCUCGGGCACCCCCUGGUAAGUUUCGGGGUCUAAACACCUACAGCAGCC